rnacentral:rRNA from 1 species
AUGGAGCAAUUGGAGAAGAGGAUGGAUGCUGCGGAACAACAAAUCAAAGAGCUGCGUGAGGAUCUUAAUCGGAGAUUUGGUCAGCUGGUUGAGAUGAUAAGAAAGGGUGUCCCCCCUACUACCAAUGAAGGAGAUUCAUCUAAAGAAGAGGAAGAUGUUCAUCAAGGAAGAAGGAGAGGUAAUCUUGGAGCAAGACCGCCACGACAACAUGUUGUUCAACGUGCUUCAAGAAGGCCAAUUUAUGUUGAAGUUUCUGAAGGUGAAGAAUAUGAUGAUGCCCUUGAAGAAGCAGAUCUCUACGCAUAUCGGAGAGUACCCAACUCUACAUAUGCGAGAGAUACAUACAAGGUGAAAGCUGAGAUCCCAACUUUUAAUGGAAAUGUUGAUAUUGAAGGGUGCCUAGAUUGGUUAUAUGAAGUGGAGACUUUCUUUGAGGUCAUGGAGGUUCCGGAAGAUCGUAGAGUUCCUUUGGUCGCAUACAAGCUGAAAGGAGGAGCCGGUGCAUGGUGGCAUCGCGUUCAAGAGGAGCGCAGGCUCAGAGGAGAACCUCGUGUUAGAACUUGGCGACAAAUGAAAGGCCUCUUGAAAGGGAGAUUUUUGCCCGCUGAUUAUGACCAGAUCCUAUUUAUCCAAUUUCAAAAUUGUGCUCAAGGAAAUAGGACUGUUUCAGAUUACACGGAGGAGUUUCUAAGGCUACAAGUGAGGUGCAACCUUGCUGAAACUGAAGAGCAACAAGUUGCAAGGUACAUCAAUGGUCUCAAUGAUGCUAUUCAAGAUCGAUUGAUGAUGCAACAAAUCUGGUCCGUUGAUCAAGCACAAGCUCUAGCCUUAAAGGCAGAGAGGUUUGUGAGGAUGAGAAAGACAACUAAGGCUCCAUAUCCUCCAUAUCCUCAUACCGAAGGCUCAUCUAGGAGCCAACCUAAUAGAGUGGAAGAAAAUACCACUCCACCAAAGACAAAACAGCCCAUCCCGAAGCAAACUAAGGCAAGGGUAAGGCAAAUGAAGGCCCAAAGUGCUAUAAAUGUGGUAAAGAGGGACACAUAUCCAGCGGCUGCCUACUAA